rnacentral:misc_RNA from 1 species
CUGUAGGAAGCAUGUGAAGCUCAUUUAUGCCACAAAAAAUUCAUUAGUUUGUCGUUUCCUAUAAAAAGUUAAUUAGAAAACAGUUUUUUCCCAAUAAGUAAUUAAAUAAGACAAAUAACUACAGUUAACAUCAUGUUGCAUUUUCUACUUCACAAGGAUUAGACUUGACAUAGCGAUGGCCGAUGGUUGAAAAUGCAUCAAGAGUGCAUGUCUACUUUGUGAUCAUUCCUCAGAUGAGCAACAAGGAACAGGAUAUCCCCAACAACAGCAAACUCAGAUCCAGCAUACAAAGAACUUCAUGUUUGAGUUUACUGUAGUAUGGAAAAAUCUCUUGGCAUCAAAUUGACAUGUAUUUGCAAGACGUUUCAGGCAUUCUGCUAUUUUCUCCAAUGCUAGAAAUCUAAUAUCACCAAGUUCUUGUCUACAAGUGGGGCACCGGUUGUGCACCCUUGCUUUACAAGUUGAACAAAGAGUUUGCCCAUUGCGGCACUGAUAAAUCGGAGGGUACAUAGAAUUGUUGCAAACAGGGCAUUCGAGCAGUUCAUGGACACUGAUGGAUUGAGUUGCUGAGGAAACGCUACUACUGUUGUUGUAGGUGUUGUUGUUACUUUGAGGCUUUGGAACUGAAGGGAAUUGAAGGUGGUAGCGAUCGAUCACAUCCUCGUCCGUCAAAUCUGAGGAUGUCACACUUUCAAUGCUAAUCAGUUCGAUUUCUAUUCAUAAAAUUACCCCAAAAGAGGAAAGUAAUUUUCCAAAUCUAAGGUUUAUUCUCUGCUGGUUACUCACAAUUCUUAGGAAUGGCAACAGCACUGGUCGGGGCGGGAAUCCCUCCUCCCAUUCCCACCCCCGCAGGAGUUUAGGAUCCGAGCGGG